CGGGGUGUGGCUCAGUUUGGCUAGAGCGCUGUCUUAGGGAGGCAGAGGUCGCGUGUUCGAAUCACGUCACUCCGACUA
rnacentral:tRNA from 1 species